UGUGGAUAGGGGUGAAAGGCUAAUCAAACUCGGUGAUAGCUGGUUCUCCCCGAAAGCUAUUUAGGUAGCGCCUCGGACGAAUACCAUUGGGGGUAGAGCACUGUUUCGGCUAGGGGGUCAUCCCGACUUACCAAACCGAUGCAAACUCCGAAUACCAAUGAGUACUAUCCGGGAGACAGACUGCGGGUGCUAACGUCCGUAGUCAAGAGGAAAACAAUCCAGACCGCCAGCUAAGGCCCCAAAAUUAUAGUUAAGUGGGAAACGAUGUGGGAAGGCAUAGACAGCUAGGAGGUUGGCUUAGAAGCAGCCACCCUUUAAAGAAAGCGUAAUAGCUCACUAGUCGAGUCGGCCUGCGCGGAAGAUGUAACGGGGCUAAAACUAUAUGCCGAAGCUGCGGAUUUGCAAUUUAUUGCAAGUGGUAGGGGAGCGUUCUGUAAGCCGAUGAAGGUGUAUUGAGAAGUAUGCUGGAGGUAUCAGAAGUGCGAAUGCUGACGUGAGUAACGACAAUGCGAGUGAAAAACUCGCACGCUGAAAGACCAAGGGUUCCAGUCCAACGUUAAUCGGGGCUGGGUGAGUCGACCCCUAAGGCGAGGCCGAGAGGCGUAGUCGAUGGGAAAUUGGUUAAUAUUCCAAUACUUCUAUGUAAUGCGAUGAGAGGACGGAGAAGGUUAAGUCAGCCUGGCGUUGGUUGUCCAGGUGGAAGGUUGUAGGCAUGUAUCUUAGGCAAAUCCGGGGUACUCUAUGCUGAGAACUGAUAGCAAGCUGUACUUGUACAGUGAAGUGGCUGAUACCAUGCUUCCAGGAAAAGUCUCUAAGCUUCAGUUACAUAGGAAUCGUACCCGAAACCGACACAGGUGGUCAGGUCGAGUAGACCAAAGCGCUUGAGAGAACUCUGCUGAAGGAACUAGGCAAAAUGGUACCGUAACUUCGGGAGAAGGUACGCUGCCGACGGUGAUAGGAUUUACUCCUUGAGCUAUUGGCAGCCACAGAAACCAGGCCCCUGCAACUGUUUAUUAAAAACAUAGCACUCUGCAAACACGAAAGUGGACGUAUAGGGUGUGAUGCCUGCCCGGUGCUGGAAGGUUAAUUGAUGGGGUUAGCGUAAGCGAAGCUCUUGAUCGAAGCCCCAGUAAACGGCGGCCGUAACUAUAACGGUCCUAAGGUAGCGAAAUUCCUUGUCGGGUAAGUU
rnacentral:rRNA from 1 species